GCAUAAAGCAUCAUAUGAAUGAUUUACAAUGCUGAUUUUCCACAUCAUCUGGCGUCUCAGGAGGGGGAAGCGGUGCACCAUCAACACUGUGUACAGCGGAGACGGACUGCUGCUGACGUCAACUCGGGACUUCGUGAGUCGAAAAAAAGAUCCACAUGCGUGCAGAUACUACCCAUUCUUGAAAAGUUCGAGGCACAUCUGACUGCGAAACAGGAAGACACAGUGUUUGUAUCCAACCUAAAAGAACAGGUUUGGGAAAACGUAAGCUACCAGAAUGAUGAGAUCAGGGACUUUCUCCAAGUGGCCACUGCGUUGGAUCCGCAUUAUAAACAGAUGGAUAAUAGUGUCUGGGACCAGAGAUGUCCAGAAUGUUCAUGCAUACUGCUUCAAAAGGAA